rnacentral:rRNA from 1 species
UACGUAGGGUGCAAGCGUUGCCCGGAUUUAUUGGGCGUAAAGGGCGCGUAGGCGGCUCUGCACGUUCGUUGUGAAAUCGCCCGGCUCAACUGGGCGGGGUCAGCGGAUACGGCAGAGCUUGAGCAAGCUAGGGGGCAAUGGAAUUCUUGGUGUAGCGGUGAAAUGCGUAGAUAUCAAGAGGAACACCUGCGGCGAAGGCGGGUUGCUGGGCCGACACUGACGCUGAGGCGCGAAAGCCAGGGGAGCGAACGGG